UACGUAGGUGGCAAGCGUUGUCCGGAUUGACUGGGCGUAAAGCGUCCGCAGGCGGCUGGGCACGUGGGGUGUGAAACCGCUCGGCUUAACCGAGCGCCGCCACCUCAUACGGCCCGGCUCGAGCGCGGGAGAGGUCUGUGGAAUUGCCGGUGUAGUGGUGAAAUGCGUAGAGAUCGGCAGGAACACCAAGGGCGAAAGCAGCAGACUGGCCCGUGGCUGACGCUCAGGGACGAAAGCGUGGGGAGCGAACUGG
rnacentral:rRNA from 1 species